ensembl:lncRNA
GGCAGUUCUGAAGCAACCAAUAGUAGCCACAAUAACUUUGUCUUAAGUGUUUUUCUGUGCCAAACUGUUUUACCCUCAUUCUUGCUGACGCUCUUAUCAAUGCAAAGUAGUUGCUGUAUUCCUGCUUUUCAGCAGCUGCAAAGACACCAAGGACCCAGUUCCAUAGGCAGCGCUGCACAAACUCACUCUUGGCCUGCAGCCCACUUGCUGCAGUCUGACUGAGGCGGGACCACGUGCGUCUGUGUGCACUGCAUUCAGAUAUGGUAGUCCUGCUGUCAUGGCUCUUGAAAUGAAAGAUUUGGAAACGUUAUGAGAUAGAGCCUGGGCUACAUCCUCAACCAAGAUGUGCUCCUUUGUCCCUGUGGGUACACACACUGCUGCUCUCCCGUGGGCUGCCAUGGCUUUAUGAUUUUUGUUAUCGGUAUUCCACAUCAUAACAUUAUAUAGUGCACUGGGAUUUAAACAGUUAAUGCUCCAGUUCCAUGGAAUUACGAUAGUUCCAGGUACCUGUCUCAGAAGAGAAGAACUACAAAAUGAACUACAGCACCCAGAAGACUUUGCUGUUCCAUUUCCAUGUUCCAGUGGGUGGGAAAGAUAACAAUGACUCCGCCUUUCCCCGCGAGCAGUUCAGGUUCUGAGAAGACCGGAGCCGCCCUUAAGCCGGCAGGAGGCUUUCGCCGGCGCUGCCGACAGAAGCGGGUGGGAGCAAGAGCAGGAGCGGCGGCCGUCCCUGGAAGCUCCGCGGGCAGCGGCUCUCGACGGCCCUCGGCCCGAACCCCCUUUGCAGCACUGCCCCCGCGCUCGUCCCGUCGCCCUCCGCACGCCGCUCUCGUCGCCUCCCCAGCGCCGGGUGCUGUGAACAGCGGCGGCAGAGCUCUCGGCGAGGGCGCUGAGAAGCAGCCCGACUUUUCGCCUCCGAAGGGAGAAUGAAGAGCAGUGUUGCCGUUCCCGAGCAGAGUGCUGGCGUCGUGUCAUGCGUCAUCUGUAACCGUGAGGAAGCCGGAGGUCUGCUUUGAGAGAGGCACCGGGGCUGCAACGAGAGCACUUCCCAAGGCCCAUUAUGCCUGCGCUGUCCGAGCGCGGUUCCUGCGAUGAUCUCUGCCAGCUGGGCGCAGUCCCGGUAUGGCAGCCCGUGUCUCAGCUGGUGCCCACACCGCUCCGUUCAGCAACAGGAGCUCCAUGGGGACAAAGGGAACGGGAGGGCGCCUGGAAGGCCUCACCCAAGGGGCCCCGGAGUGCACGUGGCUGCAGCAGGGACCUUAGGUGGACGUGUUUGUAGUUGAAGCCAGGGACUUUUGUACCACGUCUUACACUAGCAGCCCCAAGGAGAUGAGUGUUCUUCCUCGGAAACAAAGGAAAUGUAAUCCAUUCUAUGAUGUUCUUCCUCUGAAAAAGGAAAUUGUGCUAUUUUACCAACAGCAUCAAAAUCGCAUUAAACGUCACCG